GGUGCAGUACUCGGCCAAGGGGCCGUGCGUGGAGAGGAAGGCCAAGCUGACCCCCACCGGCCCGGAAGUCCAUGGCUGAGCCUCAACGCGGAGGCUCCCGGGCCCGUUCGCAGCCAGCCGAGAGGCAUGGAGGGGCGAGACCACAGACACGCUGCCGUCUGAGAGGAAGGGAAUCUCUCAGGUGGCCUGGGGCUGCCCCCCAACCCUACCCCUUACCCUCACCCCCGAAGCUCUGGCCUUCUGGUCAGACUGAAGGCAGCUCGUCUGGCCUCAUCCAAAUCUCUAAAAAGAUGUUGAACCAAUCUACUUUCUAGAACCCCUAGGAGGGAGCUUAGGGAACACUUAUUUUAGCAGCAUACCCCGAAAUUAAGGGUUGACAUUAAGUGAUCGCUUGGGGGAAGGGGGAGCUAGUUAGGCAAUCUGAGCUGAAGGCAGGCUUGAGGCCCAGGUGGGCUGCUAAGGCAUCCGUGGGAGGCAGCCAGGUUUUAGUGCAGGGGAGGAAAUGCUUCUGGUCCCCACCUGGGGACCAGCAGAGGCCCAGUGGGCUGGGGUGCCCAGGACCAGGGUGUGGGUGGAAGGAGGGACAGGGGUUCUAAAGGUGCCAACUGGAAGGCAGAGAGAAAGGGUGCUUUCGAAUGAAGGGCGCCCGGAAAACAGGGAAGAUGUAGGCCGUCUGCUCCAGUGCCCUCGCGUUUCAGAACCUCAGGCGUUCUACCUCUCCUUUCUGCAGCCGGCAGCCUACACCUGAGGCUGGCUGUCCUUCACCCGAGGGACCGAGGAGCUCCUGGGACUGGUGUUUGCAGUCCCCGUGAGUGUGACUCUGACUUGCCUGCCAGACCCACCUUGAACUUCUGACCGUGCCAGGGCAGUUUCGGUUUUGAGAAGACGAAGCGUCACUUUCUCCUUAGUUUCACUCCUGGAGGGUCUUCAUCCCACGCCACCUGUGCCACUUGCAUCAGGCCCAUCGACACAGCGGCAGUGCGGGCGAGGGUCACGGGCACGGUGGGGGUCUCUGGGGAAAAGAGAAAGUGCCUGCAGAACUGGUGAACCAUACAUAAUAGCUCUCACUGUUCUUAUUUCUCAAUAGCUACUUUUUUUAGCUUAGACACCAGAGCCACACACUCCAAUGGCUUAGUUAAGUUAUGACCUCUCAUGGAAUUCUUUCUGAAUAGCCCGACUGUUGCAUCCCAGUUUUCUGACUCGUCAAUCAAGUUAACCUUUCAUCACCGCAGAAGCAACAGGAGGGGGGUGGGGAGGGAACUCGACACUGAGCCACUAAAAUACGGACUAAUUUUUCAGACACAUCUUCAAAUGGACUGUGCUACUGUUUUUGCCUCAAAGCUACCAAGUUUGUGCAAUAAGUGGAAGGGAUGUCAUCCCUGUUCAAUAAAGGCUGAAUGACAUUCAAGGUGAUUUUCUAGACCACUGAGAAAAUCUUUAUUUACAAUAAAUUUCAAUAAAAUUUGCAUAAAUAUA
rnacentral:lncRNA from 1 species